GAUGAACGCUGGCGGCGUGCCUAAUACAUGCAAGUCGAGCGAACGGACGAGAAGCUUGCUUCUCUGAUGUUAGCGGCGGACGGGUGAGUAACACGUGGAUAACCGACCUAUAAGACUGGGAUAACUUCGGGAAACCGGAGCUAAUACCGGAUAAGAUUUUGAACCGCAUGGUUCAAAAGUGAAAGACGGUCUUGCUGUCACUUAUAGAUGGAUCCGCGCUGCAUUAGCUAGUUGGUAAGGUAACGGCUUACCAAGGCAACGAUGCAUAGCCGACCUGAGAGGGUGAUCGGCCACACUGGAACUGAGACACGGUCCAGACUCCUACGGGAGGCAGCAGUAGGGAAUCUUCCGCAAUGGGCGAAAGCCUGACGGAGCAACGCCGCGUGAGUGAUGAAGGUCUUCGGAUCGUAAAACUCUGUUAUUAGGGAAGAACAUAUGUGUAAGUAACUGUGCACAUCUUGACGUUACCUAAUCAGAAAGCCCCGGCUAACUACGUG
rnacentral:rRNA from 1 species